UAUUGUACGUAGUGGUCAAACAUGGGAAUUGCAACUAGACCGAAUAGAAGCUCAUUGGGGAAGGACUCAUGCAGCCCAAUGCUCACUUUCUGAACAUUUUCACUAGAGGCGGAGCAGAGGACAAGACAUUUAAUGACUUUAACGUUGACUAUAAAUUAGUUUUAAAUUACUUUAAAGAUGGGAGUGCAAGAGAGAGUAUUGGUUGUUAUAAGUCAUCAAACUUAUCUUGACAGGUGUAGGUUAAAAGGUCAUCAUCAAUCAUUCUUAUCUUGACAGGUGUCAUUCAAAAGGUCAUCAUCAAUUGUUCUUAUCUUGACAGGUGAAGGUUAUUGUUUAAUAAUGUUAGUCUUCCACAUACAUUCAUACAUACAGAACUCCAGUAUGGUGUGUUCUCAUACAUGUAGACAUAAUUCUGAUUAAAUAAUAAGGUCAUAGGUUAAUGAUUAAUAAUGAUAGUCCUACACAUACAUACAUACAUACAUUCAUACACACAUAUCACCAAUAUGGUCUGUUCCCAUACACAUACACAUAAAUCCAAUCUGUUCCGUUCCCAUUCCCAAGAAUAUUGCAUCUAGGGUAGUGAUUAAUAAUGAUAGGUCUGAUCCCAUACAAGUUUACUGCCCAAAAAUAUGACACACUCACCCCACCCACACUCACACACGGAGAGAGAAGAUACUCCCUGACCAACCAGGAUAAAGAAAUCUAAAAAUGCUCCGGGCAGUAGGUGGCAGAAUAUGUGCCAUAAGCUGUUUAGCCAACUGCUAUAAAACAUAAACGAAAAAGAAGAACAACACACCCACCCUGCCCAUUUUCCCUUCAAUUACUUUACUUCUCUGGAUGUAACAUACCGUUGAUUCUUCAACUAUGGCCGCUUGUCCAUACACACUGCUUGUCCAUACCAUACUUUGAGAAGAUUUGAAAAAAUUUUAGAGCAUGAAAAGAUUCAAUAUUGGGUAAUGGAAAAUGGUUGUACAGCCGGAUUUUUUUUUUCAAUGCAGAAAAAGGAGAUGUUAUGCUUUUCAAGCUCUCGGUACUGGGUCACAUCCACUAGAGCAGUGCUACUGAGACCGUAACUUUUUAUUAGUGUGAGUGUGACUGGAAAAAGUUCCGUAAAUGGUGUAAGGAUUUUGACUACAUUGUUAGAAUGGAUUUCUUUUCACCAGAGGCCUACAGGCGUAAAUGAAGAAGCAGUACCUCACGACAACACACAUAUCACAUCAGAGCAACAAAUUUCUCGAAGAAACAGGUUUCACUGCACUGUGUAGCUAUUAUUACUGGGGACUACGCAUAAUUCUGAUUAAAUAAUAAAGUCACCAAGAAUAUUAUAUCUAGGUUAAUGAUUAAUAAUGAUAGUCCUACACAUACAUACAUGCACACACAACUACGGUCUGGUCUGUUCCCAUACACAUACACACAUCUCCAGUCUGGUCUGUUCCUACAUGCAUACACAUAUCUCCUAUCUGGUUAAAUAAUACGGUCACCAAGAAUAUUAUAUCUAGGUUAAUGAUAGUCCUACAUUAUUAAUCAGUAUUACACAUACAUACACAUGCACAUAACUUCAAUCUGGUUGUGUAUCGCCUAUCUGGUUAAAUAAUAUGGUAACCAAGAAUAUUAUAUCUAAGUUAAUGAUUAAUAAUGUUAGUUCUACACAGACAUACAUGUACACAUAACUCCAGUCUUGUCUGUUCCCUUACACAUACACAUAAAUCCAAUCUGUUCUGUUCCUAUACAUACACACAUACAUAUGCCCUCUUUGGAAAGGAAUAAAGAACUUCCAAGCUCUGUUUCAAAACUUUAAGAGACCAUGGACUUCUCAGCAGGUAAGAAGUUGUAUUUUUAAAGAUGUUAAAUCAUUAAAUUUAAAUUGGUAUUAGAAUAUUUUAGUCAUUUUACAUUUUGGCAUUAACCUAUUAACCUUAUAUAUUAACCUAUUUAACAUAUAAAAUAAUCAGAACGUUUCCGAUUGAGAUGAUCCAUCUACUUACCUUACUUAAAAAGUAACUGUUAAGUUACUAAAAGAAUAUUUUAUUUGUUUACUGAAUAUUUUAGAUAGCAGCAUUGUGAUUAUUUCUGAUGACGAGUAUCCUAAAACACGCAUAGUCAUUUGAACCCGAGAUUAUUGGGACAUAACCAGUCUAUCCAAAGACAUUUACCAUUUGGAGUUCCGCAGCGUAGAACAAUCCAGCAAACUACACAAGUUGAGGACACCCUGACCGAUGAUGAAUCAGUUGCUUCAGGGUAUAUAGACUGCCAUCCUCUGUUAAUGAGUACCAGCUCUGGAUAUAUUGUACCUCUACUGGUUUGGCAACUUUAGUAGAAUAGUGCGCGAUCUUAUUAUUAGGGAAUUAAAUUUAUCGGGACACCCCACUCAUUUCACCAGGUAAACUUUUUUCCUGUUUCGGGCCUUUUCGGACAAGAGUUUCUCUAUUUUGAAUGCCUUGUCCUUCUCAAUAAUGAUCUUUUGUAACUCAGGUUCAUAAAAUGUUCCCUCAAUUGUUUUCUCCAUCAUAGUCUUGCAGUUUAUAUACCAGGGAAUCUUUCGGUAUCUGUUCAGAAACAUUCAUCCAUAAUGUUUUGCUCAUAGCCUUUUUCAAACUGUCUUUAUAAAUGGGAAAUUCUUACAAAAUCACUGACUGUAAACUUGAAUUUUAGUUUCUUUAAUUUAGGUGAAAAUAGUCUAUAGAGGGUUUGAAGCAAUUGGCUUCACUGACAUCGACAGGCUUCAUUCUAAUGCUGGAAUGGUAAUUGUGUUUGUACGCUUGAACCAAAUCCUGUACUAUGUCAGUGUAUUUUCUCAUGUUAAAAGCUGUAAAAUAUCUCCACAUCUUAGUCUUUAGCGUUCUGUUGAACCUUUCACACACCGAUGCUUUCUGUCCCGUACCUGUAGCAAAGUGAACAAUGUUAUGUUUUUACAUUAAAGAUUGAAAUUUUUUG